CAUUUACAACAGACACAAUCAGGCGAGAGCUGCUCUAUCCAAGAUAAGGACACAGUCAUAGAGAUGUUUCAAUUAUUCCGAGAAUAUAAGAGGAAAGGUUAUAAAUGUCACGAAUUCUAUUUCAAAGAACGGGAAACCCGAAAAGGAAGCUCACACGUUGCCAUGGAAGGAUUAUAAUUUCUCCGUAGAUCUGUGUUUAUGGACCUAGAGACAAUAAGCGUGUUAAUACUUGCGCAACGGAACGAGUUAUGUCUGGAUGUUGACUAUUCAGGAUUUCUGAUCCAUCUGACAUUGCACUUCCGACAACAAUUUUAACGCAUUCGCAGCCGCUGACGUAACGUGACACUAUUAACUAUCGGAAUAAUACAACGAAGUGUUUCCAGAAUCAAAAUUCAGUGUUAACAUUAAUAUUAACGCUAAAUUCACGGACGUUUUUUCUACACCUUAUUCUAUUGUUCCUAGAAAACUACAUGUUCAAAUAGAUUGUGAAAAUUAUAGCUUCCAG